rnacentral:rRNA from 1 species
CCUACGGGGGGCAGCAGUGGGGGAUAUUGCACAAUGGGGGAAACCCUGAUGCAGCGACGCCGCGUGGGUGAAGAAGCGCCUCGGCGCGUAAAGCCCUGUCAGCAGGGAAGAAAAUGACGGUACCUGAAGAAGAAGCCCCGGCUAACUACGUGCCAGCAGCCGCGGUAAUACGGAGGGGGCAAGCGUUAUCCGGAUUUACUGGGUGUAAAGGGGGCGCAGACGGCGAUUCAAGCCAGGAGUGAAAGCCCGGGGCCCAACCCCGGGACUGCGCUUGGAACUGCGUGGCUAGAGUGCAGGGGGGGCAGGCGGAAUUCCUGGUGUAGCGGUGAAAUGCGUAGAUAUCAGGAGGAACACCGGUGGCGAAGGCGGCCUGCUGGACUGCCACUGACGUUGAGGCCCGAAAGCGGGGGGAGCAAACAGGAUUAGAUACCCCAGUAGUC